GUAUAAGCAAUCUAUACGGUGAAACUGCGAAUGGCUCAUUAAAUCAGUUAUCGUUUAUUUGAUAGUACCUUACUACAUGGAUAACCGUGGUAAUUCUAGAGCUAAUACAUGCUAAAAACCCCGACUUCGGAAGGGGUGUAUUUAUUAGAUAAAAAACCAAUGCCCUUCGGGGCUCCUUGGUGAUUCAUAAUAACUUAACGAAUCGCAUGGCCUUGCGCCGGCGAUGGUUCAUUCAAAUUUCUGCCCUAUCAACUUUCGAUGGUAGGAUAGUGGCCUACCAUGGUUUCAACGGGUAACGGGGAAUUAGGGUUCUAUUCCGGAGAGGGAGCCUGAGAAACGGCUACCACAUCCAAGGAAGGCAGCAGGCGCGCAAAUUACCCAAUCCCGACACGGGGAGGUAGUGACAAUAAAUACUGAUACAGGGCUCUUUUGGGUCUUGUAAUUGGAAUGAGUACAAUUUAAAUCCCUUAACGAGGAACAAUUGGAGGGCAAGUCUGGUGCCAGCAGCCGCGGUAAUUCCAGCUCCAAUAGCGUAUAUUAAAGUUGUUGCAGUUAAAAAGCUCGUAGUUGAACCUUGGGCCUGGCUGGCCGGUCCGCCUCACCGCGUGCACUGGUCCGGCCGGGCCUUUCCUCCUGGGGAGCCGCAUGCCCUUCACUGGGUGUGUCGGGGAACCAGGACUUUUACUUUGAAAAAAUUAGAGUGUUCAAAGCAGGCCUAUGCUCGAAUACAUUAGCAUGGAAUAAUAGAAUAGGACGUGUGGUUCUAUUUUGUUGGUUUCUAGGACCGCCGUAAUGAUUAAUAGGGAUAGUCGGGGGCAUCAGUAUUCAAUUGUCAGAGGUGAAAUUCUUGGAUUUAUUGAAGACUAACUACUGCGAAAGCAUUUGCCAAGGAUGUUUUCAUUAAUCAGUGAACGAAAGUUAGGGGAUCGAAGACGAUCAGAUACCGUCGUAGUCUUAACCAUAAACUAUGCCGAC
rnacentral:rRNA from 1 species